CUGCCAUUCUAUGAGUCGCUUCCUUUUUGCGUAUGGCACCCCCACUCCCUUUGGCAGCAUCUACUAAUUCGGAACUUAAUUUGA
rnacentral:rRNA from 1 species